rnacentral:tRNA from 1 species
GAAAAUGGAGUUCUAAAAGAAGCUGCUAACUAUCUUUUAAAGCGGUUAAAUUCCGUUUAUUUUCU